rnacentral:rRNA from 13 species
GACAAACCGGAGGAAGGUGGGGACGACGUCAAGUCAUCAUGGCCCUUACGUGUAGGGCUACACACGUGCUACAAUGGUAAUUACAAAACGAUGCAAUAAAGAAAUUUGGAGCAAAUCGUAAAAAGGUUAUCUUAGUCCGGAUUGUUGACUGAAACUCGUCAACAUGAAGUUGGAAUCACGAGUAAUCGUUAAUAAGUACGUUACGGUGAAAUUGUAACUGGGCCUUGUACACACCGCCCGUCA